GAACUGCGAUAAGUAAUGUGAAUUGCAGAAUUCAGUGAAUCAUCGAGUCUUUGAACGCACAUUGCGCCCCCUGGCAUUCCGGGGGGCAUGCCUGUCCGAGCGUCAUUGCUGCCCUUCAAGCCCGGCUUGUGUGUUGGGUCGUCGUCCCCUCCGGGGGACGGGCCCGAAAGGCAGCGGCGGCACCGCGUCCGGUCCUCGAGCGUAUGGGGCUUUGUCACCCGCUCGAUAAGGACCGGCCGGGCGCCAGCCGGUGUCUCCAACCUUUUUUUCUCAGGUUGACCUCGGAUCAGGUAGGGAUACCCGCUGAACUUAAGC
rnacentral:misc_RNA from 1 species